GACGAACGCUGGCGGCGUGCUUAACACAUGCAAGUCGAACGGAAAGGCCCUGCUUUUGUGGGGUGCUCGAGUGGCGAACGGGUGAGUAACACGUGAGUAACCUGCCCUUGACUUUGGGAUAACUUCAGGAAACUGGGGCUAAUACCGGAUAGGAGCUCCUGCUGCAUGGUGGGGGUUGGAAAGUUUCGGCGGUUGGGGAUGGACUCGCGGCUUAUCAGCUUGUUGGUGGGGUAGUGGCUUACCAAGGCUUUGACGGGUAGCCGGCCUGAGAGGGUUACCGGCCACAUUGGGACUGAGAUACGGCCCAGAAGCCUACGGGAGGCAGCAGUGGGGAAUAUUGCACAAUGGGCGGAAGCCUGAUGCAGCAACGCCGCGUGCGGGAUGACGGCCUUCGGGUUGUAAACCGCUUUCGCCUGUGACGAAGCGUGAGUGACGGUAAUGGGUAAAGAAGCACCGGCUAACUACGUG
rnacentral:rRNA from 1 species